CCUACUGGACCCAGAACAAGGCCUACUGGUCAAAGACUCACCCUACUGGACCCAGAACAAGGCCUACUGGUGGAAGAUAGAAACUGUCAUCAGGGCAUCACAUCAGACUGAACUCUUUGUCCCUGCUCACCUUUGAAAGGGACUAUGAAGUCAUUUCAGUGUUCAACACCAAGAAGCCCCGUCGUCUCCUGCUGGAAUCAUCAACAGUUGCUAGGGUUGUGUGGAUGAAGGGAUGUGCUGGAGGAUGCAGCUUGGAAGGAGAAUGGUACUGCCCAUGGAUCAUAGCUGGCGAGGUAUAGCCAGGCUACUAUCUCCAACAUCAAAAGAAUGGAAAAAAACAACUGUAUUGUAGACCAAAAGAGUGACGGCACAGCACUGCACACUACAUCUGAAAACAUAGGCAGAAGAGCUCGGAAGCAUUAAUUAAUUAUGCCCAUUUAACAAGUCCUUCAAUGUGUUAUUAAAAUGAGUCCAAUUACACAACUGAA